UAGGGAAUUUUCGUCAAUGGGCGCAAGCCUGAACGAGCGAUGCCGCGUGAGUGAAGAAGGCCUUCGGGUCGUAAAGCUCUGUUGCGGGGGAAAAAAGGCAGCAUCAGGAAAAUGGGUGCUGACUGAUGGUGCCCCGCCAGAAAGUCACGGCUAACUACGUGCC
rnacentral:rRNA from 1 species